CGCUAUAAAUAUGAGUCGAUGUCCCAAACGGCAAAGAGGGCUCCUUUCACACUCGUUUUGGAGAAGAGGCGCAGAGGGGGUUCGGUCUGGUGGAUGCCCUCUCUCUGUCGCCGAUGAUUUCUUCGACCCUUUCACCGUCCACUUCUUACUCAGGAAAAAGAAACAAAAAAACAAAAAAGAAAGAAACAAAAACUCUCUCUCUCUCUCUCUCUCUCUCUGAAACAAGCUGGUUCUUUUCUUUUCUCACUAUCCAAACGAGACCUUAAUUCUUUCACUCAUUCUCUCUCUCUCUCUCUCUCUCUCUCUCUCUCUCUGAUGGGUGUGUGUAUAUAUAUAUAUAUAUAUAUAUAAAUAUGAUGUGAUGAGGCUGUGACGAUGGUUGGAUUGUUGUAUAAGAGUGUGAAAUCUUCAGGUCUGAGGAAAAGGGUCCGAUUUCCAUGGCGGGGUGACUCGGAUGGCCAUUUUUGUGAAAUGUAUCACAGAGGCAACUGUUUGUUGCAGCCAUGUUAUUGUGUCCCUUCCUCUGCCUGAUCCGGAGCCCAUUCUGAGCCUCCUGAUCCUUUCUGUCUGUCUCCCUUUUUCCCUUUUUUUAACUGUAUAGUCGUAGAUCUGGCUCUGCUAUUUUGAACUUUUUUUUUCCAUUUUUUCUUGUUUGGCUACUGAGAAAACUGGGAAAAAUACGGACGGCACUCUCUUUUGUUUUGUAUGUAGAGACUGAGCCUCCUUUUCCCUCUCUAUCUCUCUUUUCCCCCUUUUUUACCGUAUAUUCUUAGAUCUGGCUCUUAUUUUAAACUUUUUCCUAUUGAUUCUUGUUUGGCUAGCGAGAAAACUGGGAAAAAUCCCGGACAGCACUCUGUUUUGUUUUGUAUGUAGAACUUUCUCACCGAUUUUUGUCAACCAAAAACCUGAAGAAGCUUUUAUUUUGAUUUUUUGUUAAAAAAAGAAAAAAAAGAUUAAAAAUAAAAACUAAACAAAACUUGUUAGUGAUUAAGAUAGCCCCUUCCUACUCAAUGCAAUUCGAAAUUUUCCUUUUAUUUUUGCAAAAAUCGAAGUACUUUAUGCCGCACUUUUAUUUUGCUCAGCUCCUUGAGUUUCUUUUGAAAACCCCCAAGUUAAAAAAAUGGCAAGAAUAAUAAAAAAAAUUCUAGAACUCAUGUUCAAAAGAAAAAAAAAAAAAGAUAAAAACAUCACAAGUCAUUUUAAAAUUAAUAAUUACAUCACAGAAAAAGAAAAAAGGGAUAUGUAGCCAUGGAAAUGGCUCCCACCCAUAUCCUAGAGGGAAUGUUACUUAAAAUGGAUUUUAUAUGGUUAGUUUUGAAGCCACAGUCAAGAGGGUGUGCAGCAUCUUGUUGGUCUGUAUUGUCUUAAGAGAUUUUAACACCCACUCUCAUUUGAUCCUCAAUUCGGGAAAGUAGGAACAUAGAUAACAGUCGGAGCAUUAUUAAAGCUUUUAUUAUUAUUUUAAAGAUUUUUGAAUCAAUCAUUGAGUAUUUAAUAAUUGGUAUUAGAGUAGUAAUCACAUCAUAAGUUUAAGUUACGGAGGUUUGAUCUAUAUGUUGGAUUAAAAUACUUGGGAUGUUAAGUUAUUAAAUAUUAAUAGAUAACUAAAGUUGCCAAAAAGAGAAAAUGCUAUCACUAGAACAUCUAUCUCAAUUUCAAUUAAGAUAUACAGUAUUAAAUAUGAAUAUAUUGAUUUUUUAUAUUUUAUAUCAAUUUCAAGACAAAUAACCCAAAGCAACACUCUCAGGAGUUGGGAGGAUGAACAAGGAAGAAGGGUAAACAUGGAACAAAACGAAGAUGGUGGGAAAAGGAUGGUAGUAUAAACAGAGAUCCGCGGAACACGCUUAGGGUUCAAUCUCAUUAGUUUAAGAAUGAGGCUCUGCUCUCGGAGAGGCUGCCUGGCGGGCGUUCGCCACUCUCUGAAUGACUGCGGAGCCGAUGAUUUUCUUAAUUGCCAAACCUGCCCUCCACUCUCUGUCUCUGUCUCUGUCUGUCUCUGCAUUUGCAAGCGAAGUUAUGAGGCGGUGAUGAUGUUUCCGCUUGUGAAUCAGACACUGGGAAUGGACUGACCCGUUUCUUGGGGGGGCGACUCCGAGUGUCCUGUGUCAAAUGGCUAUAAUGGCCUUUUGCACAGGCAACUCUUUGUUGCAGCCAUGGCCGGGGAUGCCCUGCCCUUUCUCCUUUGUCUGAAGAAAGGCGAAUCUGAACCUUUCUCUCUCUCUCUCUCUCUCUCUCUCUUUUCACCUAGUUAUUUUUAUAGAUGGAUUGAAAAUUAAAUCUUUUCUUUUCUGUUUAAAGACUUCCUUUUUUCUUUCUUCCGUAAUCUGUACAAAUUAUUAGCGGUAACUGAAUGGAGAGAGGCUUUCAGUUAUCCAACUUCAAUGAUUUUCCAUCAGAGCUGGCCAUGGAGGCAUGAAUUAAAAAUGGUAUGAUUAAUUUUUAAAAUCUAAAGCAUGACAGAGAGCUUUAUUAAUCUUGACGACAUGGUUAUGUCGAAUGCAUUUCAUUUUAGUUAUCAAAGAAAAUAAAUUUAGUACAAUGCUAUUCGAGGAAGACGGUAGGUGGAGCCCUGAAGUGCACGACUUCAGAAAUGGGUAUUAUUUCCAACUGUUUUUGCAACUGUUUCCCAUUGUCCAGUCAUAAAAUCCAUGUAAAGAUUUGAUUUUUGUAAGAUUUAAGAGUCUCUGUAUUUCUUCCAUGAAUUCAACUGUUUACAAAGGCUCCGUUAUAUGGGAGAAUUACAGGACAGUUUGGACAUUCACUCAAGCACAUGGUGUGCGUGCUGCCUAAAGCUAUUUACUGGAAUAUUGUUUUAACCGUAAGGUGCCAUUUUACAAAGGACUACCAGAAACCAAAACAAGAGAAUUUCAGCAAGAGUUUUCUAGAAGUUUCUGGAGGAGCUUUCAUGCUGAGAUGGCUGGACUGCUGCGUGUGCUGCUGAGGCAUUUUCCUUUAUGUCAUAUGGAAUCGUUUUCCCUAUGGGCUGUGAGACAUGCGAGAUGUAAUAAUGUACUUUGAAUUGGAAUGGGAUGUGUUCAUCUCCAAAAUACUUUCUUUCCAGUAAAUAUCUAGUUUUGAAGAUAUCAAUGACAUUCAAAUCCACUGGGGCCGUGAAAUAAGAAAAUGUGGGGGCGGAGUAAUCGAUACAGCCUCAGAUGUGACGAUCACAGUGAAGGGAGGAAAAGAAAAAAGUUUUUGACUAUGUUGGGGAUGAAUCACCAUGUUUACAGUGUUUGAAACUCAGGAGAAGAAAUUACAGUCUACAGCAAAUCAUAAUCGAUACAAAAUAUGCCACUCGAAUCAAUCUUCUUUAUGAUAUGCAAGCUAUUUGUCAAUGUCUACUACACAAUGCCGUCUCACGAGUUAAAAAGGAAAAAUAAUUAAGAGAAAGUGAAAGUCAAGAGGCAGCAGGGACAAACAAUGCCAGAUUAUACUUUAUCCAUCGUCUCAGUAUCCCAUAGAGAAUAACAAAGCGAGGACCACGAUUGAGACCACAGAGAGACACACGCUAGCAACAUUUGCUGGCGCACUUGAAGGUGCUACAGUAGGUGUUGCGGGAGCAGGAAUAGCAGCAGCAGUGUCUUUGGCCACAGGAGGAAGAGGUGGGUCCACAACGUCUGAAGCCUCGAGGGGUGGAAGAGGGGCUGCUGCUGGUGGCUGUACUUCAGGAGGAACCAAGGAAAGUAGAGAACCUGCUUGAGCUGUUCCUGGAUAUUCAGUUAUGAUCCCGUCAACUCCAACUCCAUCAACAAAAGUAGCAAUCUCCAUAAUAGGGUCUGAGAAAUAGUCAAAUGCCAGUGUGAUGUACUCGUUCCUAAGGACAUAGACAUACACCGAGAUAUUGGCUUUCUGAAAUUCUGCAACAACAUUUGUCAUUGCCGUGGUGAAGAAAUCAUUCAUCAGAAUGAUGGAUGACCUUGCGAUGGCAACUGCAUCAGCAAACUUCUUGAUUUCCUCCAUUGGCUGUUUUGGUGCAUCACCUAUCUUCUCUUCAAUCAACAGUACUCUUUUGUAGGUUGGGACAUUCAUAAACUUGGACAACACUGAAGUGUCAUCGGAUUGUAUCAAGACUUGCUGAGUGGAUUGCUUGUCGAAGGUGGCAUUGCUCAAGGCAGUGUUAACAGCACCGACUAUGUCAAGCCCCUUCUUUGAUGCUAGGUAGGCAGCAUUCUGAGAAGGAAAUAUGUUUGUCAAUGCAUGAACUUUGGAGUUUAAACAUGAAGGAGAAGAGUUUCUUUGCAACGUCUAGAUUUGGAUUGGACUGAAUUGAAAUUAUGAACAAUGAUGCUUUAUAAAGACAAAUAUCGCUAGAGCAGAGCCGAAAGGUACCUGAAUAUUGAUCAAAACUCCAGAAACUGCCUUUGCUUUAGUUAACUCCAGAAAUUCGGGAAGGGUAGUAAACUUACCAGCAUUCUUGUAUGCUGGGUUUCUCUGGAAGUCCUGGUACACACUUGCAAUUUGUGCUGCAAUGUGAAAGUUUUAGGUAUAAGUAGGAUUUAAAGCUUAUGAAACCUGCAUUUUGUCAUUUUGUGAAGUGCAUGGAAAAAAGUUUUGAAGAGGUUGUUUA